AGUGAACGCUGGCGGUAGGCCUAACACAUGCAAGUCGAACGGCAGCACAGUAAGCGCUUGCUCUUACGGGUGGCGAGUGGCGGACGGGUGAGGAAUACAUCGGAAUCUACUUUUUCGUGGGGGAUAACGUAGGGAAACUUACGCUACUACCGCAUACGACCUACGGGUGAAAGCAGGGGAUCUUCGGACCUUGCGCGACUGAAUGAGCCGAUGUCGGAUUAGCUAGUUGGCUGGGUAAAGGCCCACCAAGGCGACGAUCCGUAGCUGGUCUGAGAGGAUGAUCGGCCACACUGGAACUGAGACACGGUCCAGACUCCUACGGGAGGCAGCAGUGGGGAAUAUUGGACAAUGGGCGCAAGCCUGAUCCAGCCAUACCGCGUGGGUGAAGAAGGCCUUCGGGUUGUAAAGCCCUUUUGUUGGGAAAGAAAAGCAGCAGGUUAAUACCCCGCUGUUCUGACGGUACCCAAAGAAUAAGCACCGGCUAACUUCGUG
rnacentral:rRNA from 1 species